rnacentral:rRNA from 1 species
CACGUAGGCACCAAGCGUUGUCCGGAUUUAUUGGGCGUAAAGAGCUCGUAGGCGGUUCGGUAAGUCGGGUGUGAAAACUUUGGGCUCAACCCAAAGCCUGCACCCGAUACUGCUGUGACUCGAGUCCGGUAGGGGAGUGGGGAAUUCCUGGUGUAGCGGUGGAAUGCGCAGAUAUCAGGAGGAACACCGGUGGCGAAGGCGGCUUUCUGGACAGAUACCGACGCUGAGGAGCGAAAGCGUGGGGAGCGAACAGG